AAAGAGGGGGCCGAGUGGUUAAGGCGAUGGACUGAUAAUCCAUUGGGCUCUGCCCGCGUGGGUUCGAAUCACACCCUCGUCG